rnacentral:misc_RNA from 1 species
GUGAAUCAUCGAAUUUUUGAACGCAAAUUGCACUCUCCUCGGAGAGUAUGCCUGUUUGAGGGUCAGCCUAUAAAAAACUACAUCGUUGCUGUUGCGAGAUGGCGUUCGUUGGAAAUUGGGUGAUCUUAAUUCAUUUUGUUUUAAGCGACUUAAAAUUUUCUUUUCGUUCCAUCAAUGUUUAUAGGAUCUAUUUCUUUAAACGUUUAAGGUAUCGAUUGUUACUAGACGUGAACAUCAUAUCGGAU